UACGUAGGGGGCAAGCGUUGUCCGGAAUUAUUGGGCGUAAAGAGCGUGUAGGCGGUCCGGUAAGUCAGCUGUGAAAGUCAAGGGCUCAACCCUUGAAUGCCGGUUGAUACUGUCGGGCUAGAGUCCGGAAGAGGCGAGUGGAAUUCCCGGUGUAGCGGUGAAAUGCGCAGAUAUCGGGAGGAAUACCAAUGGCGAAGGCAGCUCGCUGGGACGGUACUGACGCUGAGGCGCGAAAGCGUGGGGAGCGAACAGG
rnacentral:rRNA from 1 species